rnacentral:rRNA from 1 species
GACAGAGGUGGCAAGCGUUGUUCGGAUUCAUUGGGUGUAAAGCGCGCGUAGGUGGCCGGGCAAGUCUGACGUGAAAUCCCACGGCUCAACCGUGGAACUGCAUUGGAAACUGCCUGACUUGAGUACCGGAGAGGUGAAGGGAAUUCUCGGUGUAGGGGUGAAAUCUGUAGAUAUCGAGAGGAACACCAGUGGCGAAGGCGCUUCACUGGCCGGUAACUGACACUGAGCUGCGAAAGCAAGGGGAGCAAACAGG